GAGGUUAUAGCUCAAGUGGUAGAGCACAUGCUUAGCAUGAACAAGGUCCUGGGUUCAAUCCCCAGUACCUCCU
rnacentral:tRNA from 1 species